rnacentral:rRNA from 1 species
AACGAACGCUGGCGGCACGUUUUAAGCAUGCAAGUCGAAUGGCAGUAGGGGCAACCCCAUGAGAAUGGCGAACGGGUGAGUAACACGCAGGUGAUCUGCCUGACGGAUGGGGCUAGCUUGUGGAAACACAGGGUAAUACCGAAUGAGAUGACGAGACUUGGGUCUUGUCAGUAAAGGUGCUACGGCACCGCCGACAGAGGAGCCUGCGGCUGAUUAGCUAGUUGGUAGGGUAAAGGCCUACCAAGGCGACGAGCAGUAGCCGGCCUGGGAGGGUGUACGGCCACACUGGAACGGAGACACGGUCCAGACUCCUACGGGAGGCAGCAGCUAAGAAUCUUCCGGAAUGGGCGAAAGCCUGACGGAGCGAUGCCGCGUGAUCGAUGAAGGUCGAGAGAUUGUAAAGAUCUUUUCUACAUGAGGAAUAACUCUGGGAGGGAAUGCCUGGAUGAUGACGUUAGUGUAGGAAUAAGCCCCGGCUAAUUACGUGCCAGCCGCCGCCGUAA